GGGGCUGCAAGGAACACCUCUGUGUGCACACGCCUGUGCUGUGCUGGAGAUGAGCUGUCACCUUGAGGUGGCUGUGGUAGUGACUCAGGAGUCCUUUAGUGUGUUCUCGUGAACACCAGGUUAUGUGGAUGGCACCUUAUACUUUUCAAAGCUCUUUCAAUCUGUCCGCUCAUUCUCUUCUAGGCAUUGUAGCUUAUACCCCUUCCUCUCACCGACGCUGGUUUAGACCUGUCAAGUUCUUGAGCUGACACGGGAAUGGAAAUAAAGAGAAUAGUGAGGGCUUACCUUGCCUCUAGACUCUAAUAGAAAAGACCUAGCUUUUCUUUUUCUCUUUUUUUUUUUCUUUUUUGCAUAGAGACAGGGUUUUGCUAUGUUGGCCAGACUGUCCUCAAACUCCUGGGCUCAAGCGAUCUUCCCAAAUCGCUGAGAUGAUAUGCAUGAGCCACUGCACCUGGCCAAGAUCCAGGUUUGCAAGGUGGCAGGUGUGGCUAUGAUACAGAGACUUGAUAUACCAGGGUCCCAGGAGUCAGUGAUAUCUCCUGAUGACAGGAAAAAAUAAAGAAGUGAGGUUUUUGGAAUCAAGACACUAGGGCUGAACCAUUGUCAGCCUUAUUAUUAGAUUAUUGUUUCCAGGUUAGGGCUACAAAAUGAUGUGAAGUCAGUAACACAUGUAUCACAGAGCCGGAAUGGGAGAGAGGAGGGGCAGGGAUGUGCUGGGCAGUACUCACCGUCACUGCUGCACCCAUGAGUCCUUGCACCAGUGCCUCUCCUGUGGACUUUACCUAGAAGGAGUCAGUGUCAGGUUCCCUUAGGCCACCAACACAAAGUUAAACUUGAGACAGGCAGGACAAAUCAGGAGGCCUAUGAGCCCCAAAAGGUGAAGACAAGGGGGCCACGUUACUGGAAGGAGAGCUUUGGACAACACAAUCACAAAUGCAAAUGAGCAAAGUGUGGCUCUUAGGGAAGGGCUGGCCUGAGGAAGAACCAGCCAGGCCCUUGGGAAGGCCCUCAGGACUGUCAGCUGAGGCCAAAAGGGAGCAAGACCAGCUGUGACCUGAGGAGAAUAGGUAUGCCUUCUAAAGAGGGUUCCCCAAUGGCUAGUCCCCACCUACCUGCUUGGCAGUGUGGCCCAUGUUCAUUGCAUCAUUAACCCGGUUUUCCAGGAAGCGCCAAGUGUCCUCAAAGUCUGGAGAGGAGUCCUGCAUCAUCACCAGCUCUGUUGUGUUGUAGAUGGCAGCCAGCAUGGCUCGGCGGGUGUACCAGUUAAACUGUAAAGAAACCCACACUACCGCUGUGGGCUGGUGCAAGUCUGAGGCAGUUCCUACCCAAGGCCAUGGGAACUCCUGGGUUCCCUCUUGACUACUUCUUGACUGUCACAGAUACAUCUGGCCCUCUGGACAACACUACCAUCUCAAACUUGACUGAGCAUCAGAAUUACCUACUUGAUUAAAAAUGCAAGCUCCUGGGCCCAACCUCUUAAGAGUAGAGUCAAUGGAUCUAAAUAAAGUGCCAGGAAUCAGGAAACUUAAUAAGUAUCCCAGAUGAUUUGGCUACAUCCAAUCCAUUUUGGAACUGCUAGUAGAAAGCCUACAUCUUAAGACAUCUGAGUCCCAGAAGACGCUGUAAUCAGCCAGCUAUGACCGAACCUUGGUGUGUUCAUCAAUAAAGUGAGGGCUGAGAGAGGCUCAUGGACAGAUUACAAUACCUGGGCAAAGCUGAGAGUUCAAGUCCCUCAGCAACUUCUGAUUGUUCUAGCAAACUACUCUUCAGAGGACCAGCUCAGCUGCUUGGUGUUUUAUUCCUUUAAUUUCUUUGCUUUCUAAUUUCAUUUUCCUACCGUCUCUGUUGGCAUUAUAUUCCCACAUGGAGGAAGUUUAUUAAAACACUUUGUUAUAACUAUGGUGGGAGUAUUUCUGUGCCUCCUCAUCCAGGAUUCCACAAAGUAUCAUCACAUUUUCUUUUAUGAAGGUGUAUUUUUUAAAAUUUCCUACCAGAAAUAUGAUAGCAUUAACAAGUCGGAUUCUUUCCUGGUGCUGUUUAAAGAGCCUUAUUGAUCACUUAGCAAAGCAGGCCAAGAUGGGCUGGGGAAGGGAAUUUCUUUUUAAAGCAAUGGGUGCCUCCAUGGCAUUUCUUUUUUUCAAAAGAGGAAUUUUGCUGCAGAAUCUACAUCUUAGGAGAGAGGGAAAUGAUAAUAAAAUGGCAGCCCAAUUAGCUUUCGCCAAUGCUAAAGGAUCUCUGACACCUGGUGUCACCACAAGCUGGAAGAAAUAAUAACUGGUUUGUGGCUAGAAUGCUGGUCCCUGAAUGAAGAUGACCUAGAUCCCACUUUGGCUUCUUGACGGACCUUCCUCAUACCUUAGAUGGGAAUGACACUGCAGCCCCCCUGCAGGGGCUUAUGAUCAAAGCAAUUUCACAAGCUUCUUGAAGAAAUGCUUAACACAAGCCUUUCCCAGCCUCCUGUGGGCCUGCAGAAAGCACUCACAUCAGUGGACUGGUCCCCAGCGUAAUGCCACAUGUCAUCCACCAUGCUGGUGAGCAGGCUCAGGCUGGACGGGAUGUUGUGAGGGAGCAUGAGGAUGCUGAGGGCCUGGAGAGAGAAUGGCAGAGGAGUAAGCUCUGCUCACAGGUAAUGGUGCAUAGUUGACCAGCAUCUACCUCUCCAAGAGGUGUAUGAGGGGGCCUGCCAAGCUCUGGUUCUCUGAGACCAGCAUCUUCACCCACUGGCGUGAGUUGUGGGCAGCUAGCAAUGCUGACUACAGCUGAGGAGAGCCAGGGGCAUAGCCCCGUCUUAUGCAAGCCCAAGCACAUUCUCCAUCCCUAGCAUUUGGAACUGGGAAUGCAGAGGGCCAGAGGGUCUAGACUGGUCUAAGCAAGGAUGGGCAAAGAUACCCCAGUCUGUCACACAAAGGAAGAAGCAGAGAUAGGAGUCCGUUCACACACAUCAGCUCCUACUGACAAACAGAACAAGGUCCUUCCACUUUACCAAUGCUACAUCCACUGGGGAGGUGAUCAGAGAGGUCCUGGAUUGGCUGUAAGGUUUUCUCUUAGUGAAGCAGCCCAGAAGAAAACACUAUGCUGAAUCAGGAAGGCAGUUGAGGGCCUCAUACGUGCACUUCCACUGCUUUAACUGCAAGGUGGAAUGAGUCACACUCGGCCUGGGGUUAGGCACCACCAUAAGUGUUCAAAUGUCUAUCAACUGAAUGACUGAAACUACGUGCUUAGUAGUCUUCCAGCUGAGCAAAGGACACAAGAUGUCUGAGUCCCUCUCACUUCGGGUGUACUUUCACUCUGUACUUUCUUCACUCAGAGAAUGGCCCAUACUGUGAUAUGCUUUAAAACAGAGGAAAAAGGAAGCUUCAGAAAAGGUGAAAAAACCCCUUGCAACGAAUAUGCCAGUCCCCAAGCAUCACAUUGACAAUUGACAAAUCCCAGUGCUCGAGAUCUAAAAUGCCACAGGGCUGUUAUUCAAGUGAAGACAGCCAAUAAAAUCUUCU
rnacentral:lncRNA from 1 species